GAUGAACGCUAGCGGCAGGCUUAAUACAUGCAAGUCGUGGGGCAGCAUGAAUGUAGCAAUACAUUUGAUGGCGACCGGCAAACGGGUGCGGAACACGUACACAACCUUCCUAUAAGUGGGGAAUAGCCCAGAGAAAUUUGGAUUAAUACCCCGUAAUAUAACGAUGUGGCAUCACAUUGUUAUCAUAGCUUCGGCGCUUAUUGAUGGGUGUGCGGCUGAUUAGAUAGUUGGCGGGGUAACGGCCCACCAAGUCUACGAUCAGUAGCUGAUGUGAGAGCAUGAUCAGCCACACGGGCACUGAGACACGGGCCCGACUCCUACGGGAGGCAGCAGUAAGGAAUAUUGGUCAAUGGACGCAAGUCUGAACCAGCCAUGCCGCGUGAAGGAUUAAGGUCCUCUGGAUUGUAAACUUCUUUUAUCUGGGACGAAAAAAGGCUUUUCUAAGUCACUUGACGGUACCAGAUGAAUAAGCACCGGCUAACUCCGUGCCAGCCGCCGCAGUAAGAC
rnacentral:rRNA from 1 species